rnacentral:rRNA from 1 species
UCGCUCCUACCGAUUGAGUGAUUCGGUGAACCUUCUGGACUAGAUGAGUCUUCAAGGCUUAUCUGGGAAGUUAAGUAAACCAUUAUCACUUAGAGGAAGGAG